rnacentral:rRNA from 1 species
GAUUUCUGGUUUGGUGUACCUGUCCCGCUGCGGUAACGUAUGUGUGUGACGGAGUAUGUCUGCCAUCCUUCUAGAGAAUGCAAGCUAUCCUUUACUGGACCGGUUUGUGUCAUCUAGAUCUUUUACUUUGAAAAAAUUAGAGUGUUUCAAGCAGGCGUUUUGCUAUGAAUACAUUAGCAUGGAAUAAUGAGUUAGGACUUCGGUUCUAUUUUGUUGGUUUCUAGGACUGAAGUAAUGAUUGAUAGGGAUAGUUGGGGGUGCUAGUAUUGGCCGGCCAGAGGUGAAAUUCUUGGAUUCGGUCAAGACUAACUUAUGCGAAAGCAUU